CAGCGCUUUCUACCUUCAGCAGUUUCACCAGAGCAGCAGGGGACGACAGUCUGGCCAUGUCCGUGGAUCUGGGGAUCUAGCCUGCAACAGGAGAGAACCAUCCAGUGAGUAUGUACAACCCACCCGCUGGAGCCAGAAACAACCCUAAAAAGGAGGGACAGGAAAAGUGGACAAGCGGGACUUGAAAAUGGCUCCACACCUCUCAGCCAAUCCUAAGAACAUUUCCACAGCCAGCUAUGCCAGCCGCUGAAGGAAUGAAAGAACAAUUCCCAACACCUUUGCCCCAAAUAAGAAGCCAGCUCCUCAGAGGGGGCAGGGGAUUCCUGCUAGCAUCGGGUUGUGUAUGAAAAGAUGUCUGGAUUAUUGUGGCUCUCAGAGAAGACGCGGUGCUGGUUAGUUCUUCCUCUUGGUGCCAUGCUCUUCCUCCACUUCCAAGUGUUCCCAGUGUUUUCAACUAGAACUUUCACAGCUUCAGCUGCACACCUGCAUCUACAAUCCAUUUUAAUCCUG